rnacentral:rRNA from 1 species
UGGGGAAUUUUGCACAAUGGGCGCAAGCCUGAUGCAGCGACGCCGCGUGAGGGAUGAAGGCCUUCGGGUUGUAAACCUUUUUCGCUCAUGGUCAAGCCGCAGCUUUGGGUUGUGGUGAGGGUAGUGGGUAAAGAAGCGCCGGCUAACUACGUGCCAGCAGCCGCGGUAAUACGUAGGGCGCGAGCGUUGUCCGGAAUUAUUGGGCGUAAAGGGCUUGUAGGCGGUUGGCCGCGUCUGCCGUGAAAUCCUCUGGCUUAACUGGGGGCGUGCGGUGGGUACGGGUUGACUUGAGUGCGGUAGGGGAGACUGGAAUGCCUGGUGUGGCGGUGGAAUGCGCAGAUAUCAGGAGGAACACCGGUGGCGAAGGCGGGUCUCUGGGCCGUUACUGACGCUGAGGAGCGAAAGCGUGGGGAGCGAACAGG